GAAUCCUGGACAAAGAGACUUAUGGAGCAGGUGUGAACCCAGUCUGCAUACUGGAGCCACAUGCAGCUUAACUGGCCAUAACCCCUCAACCAGUAAAUGUUUAAAGACACAAAUCUCAAGCCCUCUCAGUCUCCACUCUUCAAAAGUCCGUCCUUUCCUGACUUUACGUGGCAUGCAGAAAGACAAUCUGCCUUGCAGCAAGUUUAUGGAUAACACGGAGUUCCCCUGCAAUGAAUAUGUGAACCCUCUGUUCUUCAGGAUAGCACUUGGGAUGAUGUGGAGGUAAACUCGACUGAGCAAGU
rnacentral:lncRNA from 1 species